AUUGAACGCUGGCGGCAUGCCUUACACAUGCCAGUCGAACGGUAACAGGUUAAGCUGACGAGUGGCGAACGGGUGAGUAAUGUAUCGGAACGUGCCCAGUCGUGGGGGAUAACUGCUCGAAAGAGCAGCUAAUACCGCAUACGACCUGAGGGUGAAAGCGGGGGAUCGCAAGACCUCGCGCGAUUGGAGCGGCCGAUAUCAGAUUAGGUAGUUGGUGAGGUAAAGGCUCACCAAGCCGACGAUCUGUAGCUGGUCUGAGAGGACGACCAGCCACACUGGGACUGAGACACGGCCCAGACUCCUACGGGAGGCAGCAGUGGGGAAUUUUGGACAAUGGGCGCAAGCCUGAUCCAGCCAUGCCGCGUGCGGGAAGAAGGCCUUCGGGUUGUAAACCGCUUUUGUCAGGGAAGAAAAGGUUCUGGCUAAUACCUGGGACUAAUGACGGUACCUGAAGAAUAAGCACCGGCUAACUACGUG
rnacentral:rRNA from 1 species